CCCUUAGAUGUUCUGGGCCGCACGCGCGCUACACUGACGAAGUCAGCGAGCAUGUCCUACGCCGACAGGUGCGGGGAAUCUUGUCAAACUUCGUCGUGAUGGGGAUUGAUUAUUGAAAUUCUUGAUCAUCAACGAGGAAUUCCUAGUAAGCGCAAGUCAGCAGCUUGCGUUGAUUACGUCCCUGCCCUUUGUACACACCGCCCGUCGCUACUACCGAUUGAAUGGUUUAGUGAGAUCUUCGGAUCGGCGCCACUGCGGCUCAGCAAUGGGCUCGGUGGAUGCCGAAAAGUUGAUCAAACUUGAUCAUUUAGAGGAAGUAAAAGUCGUAACA
rnacentral:rRNA from 1 species